GAUACGAUAAGGGUUGCCGGGGCCCCCCGCGCCCAGCCCCGCCCCGAGCCCCGCCCCGAGCCCCGCCCCAGCCAUACACAGCCCCGCCCCGGUCUAGCCCCCGAGCCCCGCCCUAGUCCCACACAGCCCCGCCCCGGCCGGACUCAGCCACAUCUCACUCCGCCUUCCUGCGCGUUGUACGGUUGCCAAGGGGACGCACCACUCUCCAGGACCUUCUGGGCUCAUCCGGGGACGGAGAAAAGCCAGAGACAGGGCUCACUAUCUACUGAAGCAUGCUAUCAGGCUGUACAAUGAAUACUCAAGACUAGGAGACAACAGUCCUUUAAUGACCCAACACUCCUGCUCUCACCUGAAAUAAUUGGUCAGAACGACGGGAAGAAACAGCAACAAAACAAAACAAACCCAGAAAACAACUAAUCUUCGCUUUUAACUUAAGAAGUGACAAUAAGGAGAGUUAUAGAUUAAAUUUUCAAUGAGAUAAAGAUUCCCAAUAUACAUGUACCAAAAAAGUGCAGUGAAAUAAAGAAGAAAGAAGCAAUUUCUCCAGAUAUUUCAUCUUGAAAUGCAUGCUACAUUCUACAUAGUUCAAUACUUCACAGGGAAAAAGUUCAGGUAGAAUUUGGAAGCAAAUGACCUAGGUUUGGUGCAAGCUUGCCAAUGCUUUGAGGUAUUGGGCAUAUCACUUAACAGCCAAUCUCAGUUUUCUGAGCUACAAAAUGAUUAGAAAAGCAUUACCUAUUUAAUAAGGUUACUGACAACAUGAAAUGAAUAUUUUGGAAAAAUCUUAUAAAGUAUAAUACAAAGGCAAUUUAUCUUGCUGGCAACGUUUCCAAAAAUCAUUAAAAUUUCCCCUUUUCAACUAAGAUGACCAAAGUAUAAGGAAGAACUCAGGUGGCAAGUUUCAACGCUAACAACUGUUCGGUGUUAAAAUGACCAGGAUCAUAGUUACUCUUGCUCCUGUGCAACUACAGAAGUCCAAUUCUCAAAGAAUCACAAGAAUUUCUACCAAUUAAGAAAACAUACUGGUAAACAAGCUGACAAUCUUGGCUGAUUAAAGAAUUCCUGCAAAAUACUAUACUAAGUAUACAGUACUGGUUGGAAGGCUAGAGUUAAUUCAAACAAAUUUAGGGAUCAAAUAAUUCUAAUUCGUAGCUAUUUUCCUCAAUGUCUGAAAUCACCAAAAGUGCACUGUGGGCACAAUCACUACUUUUCACGUUAACCCAGUACUAGAGUGUUGAAAAUUACUUAGAUAGCUUUGCAUGUUACUGACACACCUUUUAGAUUACUGCUACUCUGAACAGCUAAGCCCUGCCUUGGUAAUUACAUUUCCAAAUCUAACAUGCACAGGCUGUAUCUUCAGUAGAGAAGAACUGCGCACCACCGAGAACAUUAAGUAGCAUGGCCAUAUUCCAGGUAUGUAGUAAGGAACAAAAGAAUAUGAUGAAUUAAACCUCACACCAAAGGCGGUAAAACCCGAAAUCAUCCCUUACAGGGCAAAAAAACAGGCCAAACUUUUCUUCCGACAUUAUUUCAAGUGUUGGUGCUUCAACACACAUAUUUCCUAACUUAAUAACACUGAAGAGAUCCCAUCUAUGGGAAUGACAGGCCUGACAUCCAGAUCCAGCCCUUUCCUCUCGCCCCGUAGAACCCGUACAGCUUCCAUCUGAUUAGCACCAGCCUCUAAACUACGUGUCCCAAGCAGGUUCCUCCCCCUUUAGCGGCCAAAGAGAACAAGCUCCCUCAGCAAUAGAGUCCUGAUCACUGCGCUCAAGACAAAGAAGAAAAGGAGGCACUUUGGAAUAUUUGUGAAAUAAAGCAGCAAAGGAGUCAAAUAAGAAAACAGUUUGAAAUGGACUCCGGGAGCUGCGGUCUCUUUAAAACCUUCCCUCGCUUCCCGCGGAGAGUAAAAAGAGAAGUACACGUGGCUCUAAGCAACCAGGGACCCCAGGCUGGCCUGGUGAAGCCGAGGAAUGAGACCUGCGUCUUCCGGGCGCUAGGGCCCGAGCCGGGCGGACAAUAGGCGGGGGGGUUUCGGGGGUCUCCCCUUCCCGUGCCUCCCGCGCGAGGUGGUCUCGCGCGCCGGAAACAGGCCGCAUCCUCCAGCGGGCCUGGGCCCGCCCCAGUGCCCACCCCGACACUUACUCUUAUUGACGGUCUUGAGAGCGCGCGUGAAGUCGCCGUUCUGGCCAUACCGGUUCACUUCACUCCACAGCGCAGGUACUGACACCCCCCCGCUGCCGCCGCUCGCCAUCUUGGAGGAGACGAGGGGCGGGGCGGGGAGACCUCUGCCCCGGAACAGGAUCUCCGAGGCAGCCAAGAGGAGGAGGAAGUCGAUGAUUGCUAAGCGUCGCCGAGUUGGGAGCGUCUUCAGCCCUAAGGCAGCAUCAGAGAUCAUAAUCUUCUGCUCUCGUGGCAAGAAAUUUGUGCGGAUAGAGUUGAUACACCUCACUUGAAGUUGGCCUGGAGAAAAGAGGCGUGGGACUCCUGGACGGGGUUGGGAAACGGUCACCAGUUUCGGCUCAAAGCAGCCUGUUUCCAGGAGACCGCCAUGGUCGAGGCAGCGUCCUGGUCCCACGGUGCGGGGCCGGACGAUCAUUUAUGGGAUAUAAAUAAAAGGACUAUGAGGUGGUAAAUAAAAGACUACCAACUAGAAGCCAUAGGGAGUCAUUUGAAGGAGAAAUAGGCACGGCUCAUCUGUGGUUGAGGGAAAGGGAUCUUGAAAGAUGAUUAGGAGAACUUGGGUUCUGGGGAAAGUGCGGGAAGACAUUCUGGCAGAGAAGCAAACGUGAAGAAAGGUAAGAAGGCAAGAAUCUCCCAUUACAAAGGGUUUGGUGAAACCCUUUGCCUGUCCUUUUCGCUCCCUUCGGGAGCAGUCGGCAAUAAGCUGGAAGGGUAAUGGGGUGAAAAUGCCCGUGGUCAGUUCCCUGGCUCUGCGACUCACUAGAUGUCUGACAAUAAACAAGUUACUUAGCUUCUGGGA